UGACUCGUGUAUAAUCAAGAAAGAGAUGUGGUAGUACUAGAAAGAAAACACCAACACAGGCAUGGCAUGGCUAACGUCAGCUCGUGUCAUGAGAGGUUAGGUCAAGCACCGCGACGAGCCCAUCCCUUGUCUUUAGUUGAUUUAAAAGGGCACUUUAAUGAGACUGCCGGUGACAAACCGGAGGAAGGUGGGGAUGACGUCAAGUCCUCAUGGCCCUUAUGGGUAGGGCUUCACACGUCAUACAAUGGUCGGUACAGAGGGUUGCCAACCCGCGAGGGGGAGCCAAUCCCAGAAACCCGAUCGUAGUCCGGAUCGUAGUCUGCAACUCGACUACGUGAAGUCGGAAUCGCUAGUAAUCGCGGAUCAGCAUGUCGCGGUGAAUACGUUCCCGGGUCUUGUACACACCGCCCGUCACACCAUGGGAGUGGGUUUCACCAGAAGUAGUUAGCCUAACCGCAAGGAGGGCGAUUACCACGGUGGGAUUCAUGACUGGGGAGAAGUCGAACAAGUAGCCUAGCCC
rnacentral:rRNA from 1 species